GCCACGGCUAACUACGUGCCAGCAGCCGCGGUAAUACGUAGGUGGCGAGCGUUAUCCGGAUUUACUGGGUGUAAAGGGCGUGUAGGCGGUCUUUCAAGUCGGAAGUGAAAAUUCAUGGCUCAACUGUGAACUUGCUUACGAAAACUGGAGGACUUGAGUACUAGAGGGGAAGGCGGAAUUCCUAGUGUAGCGGUAAAAUGCGUAGAGAUUAGGAAGAACACCGGUGGCGAAGGCGGCCUUCUGGCUAGCAACUGACGCUGAGGCGCGAAAGCGUGGGGAGCAAACAGGAUUAGAUACCCUGGUAGUCCAUGCCGUAAACGGUGGGCGCUAGGUGUGGGUUUCCUUCCACGGGAUCCGUGCCGUAGCUAACGCAUUAAGCGCCCCGCCUGGGGAGUACGGCCGCA
rnacentral:rRNA from 1 species